rnacentral:lncRNA from 1 species
GGGUACGGUCUGCUGAGAAUGGCAGCUCUGUUGCUGGUACACAGCAGGACCUCAAUCUGUGCAGGGCCCCACUGGGGAGGAGGGGCGGACCUCAGUUUCCCCAACCAUCCAACGGCAAGGGAGACUCCUGCCUCUGGCCCAUGGACUGCCGUCCAGGCCCUCUGCCUGCUCGUGCCUCAGUUUUCUGUCUGCAGCCGGGGCGCAUGUUGGGCAUCCUUAGUCUAUGGCGCUCGUGGUGGGGCUGACCGAGGGCGGGCCCUUGGGGAAGCCAGCAAGGGACAGUGGAGGGGGCUGCGUCCCUCCCUCCCUUCCCCCAUCUCUCCCACUUCCCCUCUGUACUGAGGCCAGGACGGAAGGCCGCCGACUACAACUCCCAGCAGGCCGCACGCGGCAAGCCCUGCGCGGAGCUCACAGAGCCCACCUGGAGUGGCCUCCCCCGCGGGGUACGGGGGCGGGGCUUCCUCCUCCUCCCACCCCUCCUGUGCUGCUGCCUGAGUCCCAGCGCGGCUCCUCCUCCAUGGGCACAAGAGACCAAGCCCAGCUCCGGCUCCGGGUCCGAGUCGAGGUCAUCGCGUGGUUGGAGGCUGGAGCGCGGCGGCGUCGGAGGCUGCACUGGGAGCAUCUUGAGGACAGCCACUGCUUUGGCCCCUGACACACAGUCGGUGCUCAGUCAGUCCAUGUGGUUUGAUUGCAUGAAGGAUGUUGGCCUUUUGUGUGGACUUCUGUUGGGAAAAUGAAGCAUGUCUAGUAUCCCGACUCUGCAGUGUAACAAGUCUCCUUCAUGCACCCUGUCUGUGUCCCAGAAAAAGCUGUCCUAGAGUCCAUGAGCCUCUUUUUGUGACUUGGGCUUUCUUUGCUUUUCCACCUCUGUGUGUGUGUGUGUGUGUGUGUGUGUGUGUGUGUGUGUGUGUGUGUGUGUGUGUGUGUGUCUGCUGGCAGGCUUUUUUCAGGGUAUCAGUACAGUGGGGGAGGAAGAGGAGUUGACCUGCUCCUCCCUCCCUGGCCCCUCUCAUCCCACAUUUCCUAUCUCUCCUGGCUCUUUCCCUGGUGCCUACAAAUAGGCCCAUGUCUCCCUCAUCCUGAACAAAUCCUCAGUUAACCCUUCCAUCCCUGCUAACUCUGGUCCUACAAUGUCUUCUACCAUUUGUGGUGAAACUCCUGAAAAAGUCAGUGUACACCAGCUGCCUCCACUGUCUGUCCUCUCAUUCUCUUCUUCAGCCCUUGCAGUGUGGCUUCUGACCCCAUCAUUCCACCCAAACUGCCCUCUCCACGGUGACCAAUGACCUCUUAGUGGCCAAGUCCAGUGUCUUUUCCAGUCCUCAUUCUCCUUGACUUCUUUGUAGCCUGGACGCAGUGGAUCCCCUCUCCUCCUGGAUACUUCCAUCCCUUUACAGUUGUGGUUACUACACUCUGUCUCCUGGUUCUCCUCCUCACUCUUUGACUGCUCCUGGUCUGCCUCCUUUGCUGGAUCCUCCUCCUGCUCACACCUUCUGACCACAGGCAUCCCUCGGCUUCUAUCCUGGGCCUGGGCCUCCUUCUUCUGAGCUGCUUCCCUUGGGGAUCUCCUCAGCUGCCAUGGAUUUAAUGACCUUGUGUAUGCAGAUAAUUCUCAAAUCGACCUUUCCUGCCCCAAACUCUCAGCUGAGCUCCAA